UCCCGCGUCGUUCAAUGGCAGGACUCCUGAAUUUGGAUCAGGCAAUCGAGGUUCGACCCCUUGCGCGGGAACCA
rnacentral:tRNA from 1 species